GCAAGUCGAACGAAGUAGCAAUACUUAGUGGCAGACGGGUGAGUAACAUGUAGGUAUCCGCCCUUUGGCCUGGAAUAACACGAGGAAACUUGUGCUAAUACUGGAUAAGUCUUUACGGAGAAAGCUUUAUGCACCAUUGGAUGAGCCUGCACUUGAUUAGUUUGUUGGUGGGGUAAUGGACUACCAAGACUGUGAUCAAUAGCUGAUUUGAGAGGAUGAUCAGCCACACUGGGACUGAGACACGGCCCAAACUCCUACGGGAGGCAGCAGUGGGGAAUCUUGCACAAUGGAGGAAACUCUGAUGCAGCGAUGCCGCGUGAGUGAAGAAGGCCCUUGGGUUGUAAAGCUCUUUCGUCGGGGAAGAAAAUGACUGUACCCGAAUAAGAAGGUCCGGCUAACUUCGUGCCAGCAGCCGCGGUAAUACGAAGGGACCUAGCGUAGUUCGGAAUUACUGGGCUUAAAGAGUUCGUAGGUGGUUGAAAAAGUUGGUGGUGAAAUCCCAGAGCUUAACUCUGGAACUGCCAUCAAAACUUUUCAGCUAGAGUAUGAUAGAGGAAAGCAGAAUUUCUAGUGUAGAGGUGAAAUUCGUAGAUAUUAGAAAGAAUACCAAUUGCGAAGGCAGCUUUCUGGAUCAUUACUGACACUGAGGAACGAAAGCAUGGGUAGCGAAGAGGAUUAGAUACCCUCGCAGUCCAUGCCGUAAACGAUGUGUGUUAGACGUUGGGAAUUUAUUUUCAGUGU
rnacentral:rRNA from 1 species